rnacentral:lncRNA from 1 species
GGACCCUUGAAUGCAGAAGUUGCAAGUUUCACAGAACCAAGUAUUCCUGAUGCUGAUCAAGAUGUGCUCCCUCCAGCACCAUCCAAACCCUCCACAUCCAGUAACGGCAGGAACUGAUCUCAGGCCUAAUGGUGCGGGCAUCCACACUGGCUCUUGUGCUUGCUGACGGCCCGGGGAAUUCUUGGAAUGGGUGAGGCAGAGGUUCCCUUGCUCACAGCCUCCCUGGGAGGAAGCUCAGUGGCUUCCCCUCCCCGCCAGAGCAAAAUCCUAUCAGUGGCCUGACCCUGCUGUAUCUCUGGUCACUCUGUCCUCUGGCUACUCCUGUCCCCUUCCCAUGCCUUGGACACAGGCCCAUGCCCCAGAUUGCCCUUCCCACCAG